CAUCAAUCAAGUACCAUACUCCCAUUUUCAAAACAUAUUCUUUCAUAUCACUAUGACUCAUCAAUCAUUCAAACAUCAUGGAGAACACAUAGCAAAAGUCACAUUAAAACACACAUAAUUAGGUUCUUACGAUGAACAAAUGAAAGCUUCAACUUACCUCAAGUCCAAUAUGGUCUAUGAAGUGAAAAGAUCAGUCUCAUAUAGGUUGUGCUAGAGUCCUUGAUUAUAGAUGAAUUCAAACUUCAAAACGUAGGAUUUUCAGCUAGAAAAGGUGAAGAACUUGUUCUAGCUAUACUUCUAUGAGUU
rnacentral:lncRNA from 1 species